rnacentral:rRNA from 1 species
UGGGGGAUAUUGCACAAUGGGCGCAAGCCUGAUGCAGCGACGCCGCGUGGGGGAUGAAGGCCUUCGGGUUGUAAACUUCUUUUGCUCUGAACAAGGCGCACUUUGGGGUGUGUUGAGUGUAGGGGUUGAUUAGCGCCGGCUAACUACGUGCCAGCAGCCGCGGUAAUACGUAGGGCGCGAGCGUUGUCCGGAAUUAUUGGGCGUAAAGGGCUUGUAGGUGGCUGGUUGCGUCUGUCGUGAAAGCUCAUGGCUUAACUGUGGGUUUGCGGUGGGUACGGGCUGGCUUGAGUGCAGUAGGGGAGGCUGGAAUUCCUGGUGUAGCGGUGGAAUGCGCAGAUAUCAGGAGGAAUACCGGUGGCGAAGGCGGGUCUCUGGGCUGUUACUGACACUGAGGAGCGAAAGCAUGGGGAGCGAACAGGA